GAGGGUGCUGGGCGGAGCCCCCGAACAGGGCCGGCGAGCUGAGUUUGCAGCCGGGCUGCAGGAGGGCCUGUGGGCCGGGCUCGCUCCCGGGCCCCACUUAAGGUGGGCUGGGCUCAGGGGCGGCCUGACCCCCCCUGGGUGGUGCCUGUCCCCCGGCCAGCGUGGGGGGCCUUGGGCGCUUGAGGGGGAGCAGCUGCCUGGGGGGCAGGGGGUUGUGGCAGCACCCCCACGGGCCACCUUAAGCGGCUGUGUUGAGGCUGCCAGGCAGCACAUGGGGCUGUUAAAGCAGCCAGCCCGGCCCUGGGGAAGGGGAGCCCAGCUCAACAGGGUGCAGGGAGGGGGCUCAGGGCGGGGGGGGUGUAGGAGGGGUUUGGGCUCUGGCCCGGGGCCGCUUACCCGCAGGCACACUCCCUGCCUGCCAGUGCCCCAUGCCGCACCGCUCACCCCGUCCCCGUGCAGCCCCAGGGGAGGAGAGGGGCGGUGCAGCACAGGGGUCUGCACCCUGCCCUUGCCACACCUCCAGGUACCUCCCCUGAAGCUCCCAUUGGCCACGGUUCUCUGUUCCUGGCCAAUGGGAGCUUUGGGAGGCGGUGCCUGGAGCAACCCCCUGGCCCCAGAGACAUGGUACCCUGUUGGCUGCUUCUGAAAGCAGCACGGGGCCUGCCGCACCGGGGGGGGCAAAUCCCACGGACCAGAUCCAAAGCCCUGAGGGGCCAGAUCCGGAUCUGACCCAUGGGUAUUAGGGUGUGCCCGGGCACACCCCGUGCGCACGCCUAUGAUGCGGAGUCUCUCCACCCGAGCCCAGGUCUCGCCGCUCAGCCCCUGCUAGUGCAGCCGGGACGCACCUGGCAGGUCAGCCCCGCGAGCUGUGCCACCACUGCCUGCUGCUUGUGGGCUCUGGUGGGGACUUAAUUCUGGGAUUUCUAGUGGCAGCGAGAGCAGCACUGGGUCGCCCCUCUGCCUGCUCCCUUCUUCCCUGGGGGUCCUUAAUAUAAACGUGUCUGUGGUGAAAUCUCUGUGCUAUGCUUCAGGCGUGCUCAGGUGGGAGAGGCAAAUCCCUCUCCACAGCCGCGAAGAGGAAAUUAUUGGUUCAGCCAUGAAGCAGCCUAGGGAAACCCAACCAAGUAACCACAUCCUUUGCAUUAAGGAGAAAACAAUUGAGAAUCGCUGCUCUGUGGUAUAGCAUCAAAGAUACUAGAGUAACUCAGCCAAGGGUCAGGAUUUUGGCUAGUGGAGUGCUACUGACAUUGACAUAUCGAGACAAGGAUCAGAGCUGUGAAAAGAGAAAGGAACUUAGAGUCAGAUUGUUAACAAAGCAAAUAUGAAGCAAAAUUUUAAAUACCUAUUUAACUCGUAUUCUGAAGUAACUCAUGGGGGAAAGGAUUCAAUAUCAAUAUGCUUUCAAUUAAGAUCUGAUUGCUCAUAAUAUACAUCUCCUUUGACAACAGCAAGAAAACCAGGAAAGAUCAAUCUUGCCUUUCUGAGUUUUUUUUUUUUUUUUUUUUUUUAAAAAGGAGGAACAUACCCAACUACAUACAUCCAAAGAAGUGGGUAUUCACCCAUGAAAGCUCAUGCUCCUAUACAUCUGUUAGUCUAUAAGGUGCCACAGGACUCUUUGCUGCUUUUACAGAUCCAGAGCAACACGGCUACCCCUUUGAUACUUGAUACUCAACUUUAAAAUCCCUUAUAGGUUUUCUUUCACUUGAGUAGAAACCUUACUAUUGCUAUUUUUUGCACUUUUUUUUUGGUCCAUCUGCUAUUAAAGUCAGUGAGAAUUUUGCCAUUUAUCACAUACAGUGGGGUCAAGAUUGAUCCCUCUGUCUUCCCACUUGAUUUCAACAGAGAGACAAGGUGCGUGAGGUAAUUGGACCAGAAGUUGGUCCAGUAAAAUAUAUUAUCUCACCUACCUUGUUGUUCUAGUAUCCUGGGACCAACAAGGCUACAACAAUACUGCAAACAACAUUGAUUUUAAUGGAAGUUAGGAGCCUAAAUAUCUUUGAGGAUCUGUGUUUUAAAGCCAUCCAGGCUAUCAAGCUGUUCUGCAGUAGCUCAAGAGCAUGGAUUCCAACCUCAGGGCAGACUUAAGCAACAGGACACAGACCCCAAACUGGUUGUGAGUUCUAUACUUAGACUUCACCAACAAAUUAUCAAGUGUAAACUCUUUAAGUACUAUAACAGCCUUAAUAUGGAGUCAUGGAUAGUUUCCCCUUGGGUACUCUGAUCUAUUUUGCCACCCAGGUAAGUUUGUCUUUGUCAUAGAUGGUCCCUUUCACCAAAAAAA